UGAACCCAGGGACACUCUACCACUGAGCUGCAUCCCCAGCUCUUUUUAGUUAUUCAUUUACUUAUUUUUUGAGACAGUGUCUUGCUAAGUUGUCCAGGCUGGCCUCAAAUGUUCAAUCCUCCUACCUCAGCCUCCCAAAUGGCUGGAAUUACAGGCAUAUACCACCACAUCCAGCUCAAUCUUGAACUUUGAACCUCUAAAACUGUGAGCUGAUUAAGUAGUAGUAUUUUCUUCAUAAGUAGUCUGCCUCAGGUAUUUCAUUAUUAGUGAUGGAGAGCUGACUAAUAAAACAUUAAAUCAUAAGCAACUCUGGAGAAAUAGGGUUCCAGAUAGAAAAAAAUCCAAAGGGAGGAAUUAUGUGGGAAUGAACUUGGCUGUUUCUAGGAAAAUAGGGAAGACUGGAGGCCUUUUCCUUGGAUAAGUUCCCAGACUGGGAUGAUAGGACCAAAAGUUAUGGACACAUUUAUGACUCUUGAUAUACAUUGCAGGAUUGCUUCCUAAUUAUUAACAGUCGUCUCUGGGGAGUAGGAUGCAAGUGUCAGCAAGAAAGGAAAGGAACUUAGUUUCCAUCUUCUGCAUAUUUUGAAUUUCUUUUUUACCAAGAACAUAUAUUAUUUUUGUAACUUAAAGAGAUCUAGAGUUGUAAAACAUUGGUAAUAAGCAGGAAUGCUGGAUUCAACACUCUACUAUUCUAUAUAUCAUAUACAUAAAUUAUGUUGUAUAUGAGGCGUUUUAUAAUAAAUCUAUUUUUUUUAAUAAAAUGUAUUGGCUGGGUACGGUGGCGCACUCCUGUAAUCCCAGUGGCUCCGGAGGCUGCGGCAGGAGCAUCAGGAGUUCAAAGCCAGUCUGAACAAAAGCCAGGUGCUAAACCACUCAGUGAGAUCCUGUCUCUAAAUCAAAUACAAAAUAGGGCUGGGGAUGUGGCUCAGUGGUUGAGUACCCUGCCCCCUGAGUUCAAUCCCCAGUACCCUCAUCCCUCAAAAAAGUACUAAUUCAAUUGCCACCAGGUAGAUAUAAAUGUGGCAGUUUUACCACAUACUCUAAUAAUUUUCAUUCUUUUUGGGGGGUGCAGGGGAGAUGGAGAGGUACUGGAGAUUGAACCCAGGAAUGCUCUACCACUGAGCAACAUCCGCAGCCUUUUAAAAUUUUAUUUUGAAACAGGGUCUCACUAAGCUGUUGAGGCUGGCUUUGAACUUGUGAUCCUCCCGUCUCAUCCUCCCAAGCUGCUGGGAUUACAGGCGUGUGCCAGCCUGUACUCUGUAAAAAUGAGCAUACCUGGCUCAUUUUUUGCUUCUUUGUUCCAGUUCAGUCACUGUUUUGCUUUGAUUAAAUGAUGUUGCUUUAGUCUCCAUAGGUUUCAUUUUUUAUCAAACAGAAAGAAAGAUCUAUCCAUCCUCUCCAAUUCAUGGUAUUAAAUAAAAUAGCAAAAUGGGACGGCACUCUACAAAGUCUUGAAUUCAGUAGAAUACAAUAGACAAAGAGAAGAGGGAAGGGAUUUUCAUCUAGAAUGUUUGUAUCUGAAGCCGACCCUGACUCUUUCAUUCACCUUCAUCUCUGUUUCUAAAUUCCAUCUCAAAAUGUUCUUGGACCUAAGGCUGCAUGACUUGACACUCAUUGUGGUGACCACGCUAUGACUGUCAUUUCCUCCAGAGGAGGGUCCAGUGAAGACAUGGAGUCUCAGUGGCAGAAUUUUAGGCAUCAGCCAGCAGGUCAAAGCAAUCAAAUUUAGGGGAGAGGAUGAUCUUUUCCAGAUUCUAAAAUUUUAGGAAGUUAGAUGUGGUUGGGAAGAGCUUCAAGUUAGGCUUUCAAAGAACUAGGACCUAGUUCUGAGCACAUUGAAUCUUAUAAUCUUUCUAUUUCAGUUUCUUGAGCUGUAGAAUGGGGCUAUGGAUAAUUGCCCCGCUUAUUUGCUUAUGGUGUUUGGGAAUUUUGCGAACCAAUGUAUAUGAUAAAGCUUUGGAAAUGGCUAGGUUUGUGGACCUAUAAGGGCCUAGUGCUGCUACUUAAUGGCUUCAAGUGUGCCCAGCAGAUAUACACACGGCUGACUGCACAUGAGGGAUGCAUACACAUAAUGUUUGCUGGCUGAUGCUGAAUGGAAGGGAUUCUCCUUGGUAGCUCUGAAUGUCAUGGCAGAACUUGGUUCAUCAUUCUCCAGUUUUCCUCUGCUGCCCAGCAUAUUAGGAGACUGUAUAUCUCAGCUCCCUUCAAGAUGGUUGGGACCAUGGGACCAGUUUUGAACAAUGAAAUGACAGUAGGAAUUCACUACCAGGUGGAAUGAAACACCCCCACAUGGUUCUCCAGUCUCUCUCAUCUCUGUCAAUUGUAGAGGAGGCCCUGUGUUCACACAGGGGUCAAAAGAUCAAAAGCAGCCAGGAUCACUGACUCACUGCUUGGAAGGCAGCUGUGUUAAGGGGAAAUACAGGUGAAUUGUGUAAAACUCUGAGAUUCUUGGGACUAUUUGUUACUACAGCACAACCUAGCCUAUCCUGCCUAAUAUAACCUGAAUCUCAGUUUCACUUCUUCUCAAAUCAUAACACCUAUUGCAUAUGGUUUGUAGUAAAGAUUUAAGGAGAGCAUGUGUGCAAAGCUCUUGGCUCAAUGUGGGCUCAUGGAAGGAAAUCAGUAAUGUUAGAAUUUUGCCCUCCUCUAUCAAAACGGUGCACUCCUGGCAGUGGCGGAUAAGCCCACCUGACUAGACCUUUUCAUAGCCUCAUGGACAUAGCAAUGAGGUCAGUAGUUCCUUGUGGAAGCAGAUACAGAAUCCCUAUUAUGCAGCAGGGAUUAUAGUUCUGUCUGUCCACACUUCCCAUUUUGUUUCAUGUAAGUCCUGGGGCAGUAAUUUGGGGCUGUUGAGAGAAGUGGUACUGACAGCCAGGGAUACCCACCUUCCGUUUACAACAAGCUGUGGCAACUCCACUCUCCCCACCCCACCACCAACCACUGGCCUUCAUUCUGCUGGUGGAGGUGGGACUAGAGAUCAGGAGGUAGGGAAGGAAACUUCUUGUCUCAAUUACCAUGAGCUGACCCCUCAGCAUCAAGAAGCACAAAAUAAACAUUUUGGAAUGUCAAUAUUCAGAACUUCUGAGCCUCACUUUGUCCCUGCCUCAACUCUACGAAUCAAAACAAAAUAAACACAAAAUAAUAAAAACAAAAAUCUGAGCCGUGGGUACAUUUUAGUUUGCUUCAUUUUUGUGGUACUGAGGACUGGACCUGGGGUUCUUUAUCACAGAGCUACAUCCCCAGCCCCUUCAUUUUUUAUUUUGAGUCAGGGUCUCAUUAAAUUGCCUAGGCUGGCCUCAACUUGCUGAGUCUGGUCUCAAACUUGUGAUUCUCCUGUCUCAGCCUCCCAAGUUAUUGAAAUUAUAGACAUGUGCUACCGCAUCUGGCUCCUGUUUUUAUUAUUAUUAUUAUUAUUAUUAUUAUUAUUAUUAUUUUGUUGUAAGCAAAGUUGGAUGAAAUGGAGGCAGUGCUGGGAGAAAAU
rnacentral:lncRNA from 1 species